CUCUUCCUUUGAACCCACAAUUUCCUCUGUUUCUAAAGAUUUAUAAGCUCCACCACCGUGCUAUGCGUUGUUUUCAGACAAUUCCAGAGUUUGAUCAGAGCAUUUCUGAUGAGGAAGAAUCGGAAAAAAAGAGAUUUUCCCAAUUGCGCUGCGAUUGGCGGUUCCACCAAGAAAAAGUCGUAAUUGGCGAAAGAUCGGUACAAUGUGUUUGGAUACUAGGAAAAUAUGAGAUAGUACAGAGAAAAUUAUGUGAAAUG